UGCGAUUAGAAAUUUCAGUGUGAAUAAGCCACACUGAGUCUGAAGAAUGACCAUUCACAUUGGUUUCCUGUUUUAUUUUACUGCUUGAAACGUGGCAGUGACUCAAAGCCUAAACCCAGUAUGGGGCCUCCUCAUCCUAACUGAGGUAGAUCCUCUUGUGAAAAGACAGACCAAACCUCCAAGAACUCGCAGUCUUUCAGAGGGAUUUGCAGAGACAAAAGCCAGCAGUUCAGAAAAUUGCCCAGCCAAAUGCAGAUUUCACUAUUAAUACCAAGGCUGAAGACUUCAGUACUAUGUGGGAUUUUGACCAUAGAACCAGACAAACUCUAAAUACUAGCAAGGUGUGACUCUGUGAUUCCGUAGGUCUAAUUUCAGCUUCAUCAGGUCUGUCCCCAUUCCUCCCAUGAAGACCCAGUAGCCCCUAUGGGAGAGUCUCCUGUGCUGUCGACGCUCCCCCUGCUGACAGCGUUCAAUCAGGAAAAUGCAUUGCAAGGGCUUGAGGAACACUGAAAAGAAGAAAUCGCUUUGAGGGAGUUCAUGGAAGAAACAGAAACAGUAGAGGCAAUCACGGGUAU